UUCUGUUGGUGUAAAGUGGAGGCACAGGCUGCAGGACUGUCUCAGAAGGGAAAUAAUAUUUACCUUCCAAACUGAGAUCUAAAACCCGAACAAAGCCUCAGGAAACAUACUCCACCACCAUCUUACAAGUUUGUGCUACGGGUGGAGGGAAAAUGAAUCUAAUGUAGGAGGCCUCCCGCUGUGCGUCUAGCAGGAAAGACCAUACGGUGCAAGUCUCCAGGAUCACUAGAGGGGUGGAUUGUUCAUUUCAGUCCAGGUAGCAACAGGAAGCCCGUGCAAAUGUUCCUCUCUCACUGCGGGGCUAAGGAGUGUGGGUCCUUUCCCGCGACUACCUGCUUGCCUCUCUCAGAACCUGCAAGUGAAGUGCGG
rnacentral:lncRNA from 1 species